UGGUGAUGUUGCAUUGAACUCUUUUG
rnacentral:piRNA from 1 species